rnacentral:rRNA from 1 species
AUGGCGAAUGACUCCUUGACAAGGGCACAGAUAGUUGGAGAUGUUCUAGACCCAUUUGUUAGCUCGGUGCCUCUAACUGUGAUGUAUGAUGGGAGGCCUGUGUUCAAUGGCAUGGAGUUUCGCUCACCAGCAGUCUCUCUGAAACCCAGCGUUGAGAUAGGCGGUGAUGAUUUCCGUGUGGCCUAUACUCUAGUUAUGGUGGAUCCUGAUGCGCCUAAUCCCAGCAACCCAACCCUGAGGGAGUACCUGCACUGGAUGGUGACUGAUGUCCCAUCAUCAACAAACGAUAGCUUUGGAAAAGAGAUCGUGCCAUACGAGAGCCCAAGCCCUACCAUGGGCAUCCACCGCAUGGUGCUGGUUCUGUACCAGCAGCUGGGGCGGGGGACGGUGUUCGCGCCGCAGGCACGCCAGAGCUUCAACUCGCGCAGCUUCGCGCGCCGCUUCAACCUCGGCAAGCCCGUCGCUGCUGUGUACUUCAACUGCCAGCGUCCCACGGGCACCGGUGGGAGGAGGUUCACCUGA